GCCUUGGUGGCUCAGUUGGUUAGAGCGCAGGUCUCAUAUGCUAUAUGAGGUUCUAACUAGGAACUGCAAUCCUGAGGUCGUGAGUUCGAUCCUCACCCGGGGCA
rfam:Laetiporus sulphureus 93-53 unplaced genomic scaffold LAESTscaffold_18, whole genome shotgun sequence.